AUUGAACGAUGGCGGCAGGCCUAACACAUGCAAGUCGAACGAGUGGCGGACGGGUGAGUAAUGUCUGGGAAACUGCCCGAUGGAGGGGGAUAACUACUGGAAACGGUAGCUACUACCGCAUACCAUCGGAUGUGCCCAGAUGGGAUUGGCUGGUAGGUGAGGUAACGGCUCACCUAGGAGACAAUCCCUAGCUGGUCUGAUAGGAUGACCAGACACACGUGAACUGACACACGGGUCAGACUCCUACGGGAGGCAGCAGUGUUGAAUAUUGCACGAUGGGCGCCAGCAUGAUACAGCCAUGCGGGGGGUAUGAAGUAGGACUGCGGGUUGUAAAGUACUUUCAGCGGGGAGUCGUUACCCUCAGAAGAAGCACCGGCUAACUCCGUGCCAGCAGCCGCGGUAAUUC
rnacentral:rRNA from 1 species